GCUAUCGUUUAUUUGAUAGUACCUUACUACUUGGAUAACCGUGGUAAUUCUAGAGCUAAUACAUGCUAAAAACCCCAACUUCGGGAGGGGUGUAUUUAUUAGAUAAAAAACCAACGCCCUUCGGGGCUUCUUGGUGAUUCAUGAUAACUUUACGGAUCGCAUGGCCUUGCGCCGGCGACGGUUCAUUCAAAUUUCUGCCCUAUCAACUUUCGAUGGUAAGGUAUUGGCUUACCAUGGUUUCAACGGGUAACGGGGAAUUAGGGUUCGAUUCCGGAGAGGGAGCCUGAGAAACGGCUACCACAUCCAAGGAAGGCAGCAGGCGCGCAAAUUACCCAAUCCCGACACGGGGAGGUAGUGACAAUAAAUACUGAUACAGGGCUCUUUUGGGUCUUGUAAUUGGAAUGAGUACAAUUUAAACCUCUUAACGAGGAACAAUUGGAGGGCAAGUCUGGUGCCAGCAGCCGCGGUAAUUCCAGCUCCAAUAGCGUAUAUUAAAGUUGUUGCAGUUAAAAAGCUCGUAGUUGAAACUUGG
rnacentral:rRNA from 1 species